AGAGUUUCUCCCUCUGCGUCGCUCGCACGCUACCGACCCGACUCCCAGCCCCACGCGACUCUCUCCUCCCUCUCAUCAGUUGCCACCGGCCGAGCAGCCUCCAGUUACCACCACCACUGCCGCCGAAUCAGAUUUCCCUCACUGCCGAUCUACCUCCCCCCUCUCGCUCUCAGAUUUCUCUCUGUCCCCUCUCACGACCACUGGCCACUACCAUGAUCAGCCACCACCAGCCACCACCACUACUAUCAUCACCCGACCUAGCCCCUCUCCCUUUAUCUGAUUUCUUCUCACCACACGCGACCUGAGGGAGCGAAUUAGUUGCGGCAAACAUGCCGGGUGACCGCCUCGUGUUGAGUUUCGCCUAUCGCUUGAGGUAGGGACUUUUAGAUUUUAUAGUUUGGUAAAUAACGGUACGGGAAAAAGGCUCAAAUAACAUGAAUUUAUGUAAUUUAUCGAUUGAAUGUUGAUUGAGUACACUAAAUUGCACAAUGAUAGGAUGAUGAGAGUUUAUGCUAGUGAUUUAUUAAACUUUAGUUGAGUGGGCUAAAUUGCAUAAGGUUUAUUGUUUCAUAAACUGAUGGCUACCCGAGUGGGGUAAAUUGCUUUGUUGUAGAACAAUAUUAGUUGUUUUAAUGUUGGCCGGGUAGGCCUUAGUUUCAAAUUUACUUGAUUAAUUGGUUGAAGGUUGGCUGCCGAGUGGGCGUUUUGAAUUUACUUAAUAGUUGUUUGAAUGUUGGCUGAGUGAGCCUUAAUAUCGAAUUAAUUGAUUAGUUGUUCGAAUGUUGGCUGAGUGGGCCUUAGUUUCAAAGUUGUUUAAAUAUUAGCUGAGUGGGCCUUAAUUCCAAUUUUAAUUGAUUAUUUGUUUAAAUAUUGGCCGAGUGGACCUUAGUUUCGAAUUUAUUUUAUUGGUUGUUUAAAUGUUGGCUGAGUGAGCCUUAGUUUUUCGAAUUUACUGGAUUAGUUAUUUGGAUGUUGGCCGAUUGGGCCUUAGUUUCGAAGUUAAUGAUCAAUUGUGUAAAUGUUGGUGAGUGGGUCCUUAAUUUCAAAUUUACUUGAAUAGUUGUUUGAAUGUUGGCUUGAAUGAGCCUUGGUUUCGAAUUUACUUGAAUAGUUGUUUAAAUGAUUGGGUGAGUGGGUUUUAGUUUUGAAUUUAAUUGAUUAUUUGUUUAAAUGUUGGCUGAGUGGGCUAUAAUUGUAAAUUUAUGCAAUUAAUUGUUUAAAUAUUGGUCUAGUGGGCCUUAGUUUCGAAGUUACUUAAUUACUUGUUUAAAUGUUGACCAAGGGUGUCUUAAUUGUAAAUUUAUACAAUUAAUUGUUUAAAUAUUGGCCGAGUGGAUCUUAAUUACGAAUUUGUUGAAUGUUUGCAGUUUGUAGUUGUGGAUGCAUCUUAAUUGUUGAAUAUUCCUAAAUUGAUGAGAACACAUAUUAAACUGUUUAAUUUAUUUUUAGUUGGUAGAUUUGCGGAAUUGAGUGUUGAUGUUUCGACGUAGGCGAUGAAUGUGCAGCCUCAUGGUCAGUGUGUGCGCGCCGUGUUGGUGUGUUUGUGGCUUCAGUUAGGGGUGUCAUGGGUCCGGAUUGGUCCUGGAUUAGUAGAAUCCAAGAAACGACAAAAAAUUUACGGUUAAGGAAAUACAAUUCGUGUGCAGACCAAAAAUUUAACGGUUCGGUUUUUAAGAAAAUCACAAAAUUUACGGUUCAAUCACGGUUUAAUCCCCGGAUUGUUACUACAACCGAAAUUAAAAAAAGAUUUCAUGGUAGCAAGCACCAUAACAAGCUGCGUAAUAGCCGAUCAAAAAAAAACAAGUAGUAGUAAAACACAGAUUGAAAGAUCAUAAAUUAAUUAAAACAUUGAUGGCAUAUAGAUGGCCUCAAAAAAUGGACAAUUUCACAACCAGUUUGAAUGAGUCCAAUUCAGAUCACACCAAAAUGAUAAUGUAAUCAAGCUGCAGAGCAGCAACAAAUCACCCAAAAGAAAAAAGAUAGCUAAACUAGUAAACAAGAUAUGGUUCAGUCCCCAGAUCGUCAAAGAAAAAAAAAGACAGAUUUAUGAUGAUGUUAUGAAUCUGCAGAGCACGCACUAGCAGCCACCCACGAUCACUCUUGAUAAUAAAGAGGUUUUGUUUGUAGAGCUGCAAUAAAAUGAUAGGUAAUUUAGAUUAAAAUCAAAUUCCUGCAUACUUACAAGUUAACUAAGUUAUACAAACUAAAAUAUAGUAAGCACAAAUAAAGUAAAAUUUUACCUAAUUCAAGAUUCUUGCAUUUGUUCCAUAUCCUCUUCCACUUCAAUGGCAAUGGAGUACACGCAAACCAAUCUUGCAUACAUAUUAAGCAACUCACAAGUUUUUUGGAGAAAGAGACUACGAAAUUGUCAACAACCCGACCGUCCAUACAAAAGCACUUCAGAAGCACUGUUGAGACAGGUAUGGCUAAAACAUCUCGAGCAAUUUCAAGAAAGAUUGGAUACGUUAGAAGAGUUCAACUUCCACCAACUCGAUCUCAAAUGGACGGAGUUUUCUUCUCACACAACGCUAACUUCUACAAUACCUUCUAUUUCCAAUUUCUUCUUACCACAUUCUUCCCGUCUCUUUUUCUAAUGUUUUUUCCAAACUUGGGAUUCAAAUGAUAAAUACUCCCCUUCUCCUUUCUCCACUACGUAGUUGGUCCAAACCUCCAUCACACUAACUACUUUGGGGUAGAAAAUGAUGCACGCUAUGUUGAACUUUUUUUGUACUUCAACAAAUGCACGAUCAACAAAUGUGCUGAUUUUCAAUGCUAUUUUCAUUGACCACAAUGACGCUGUUGUCUUCUCGUUGUUACAACCUAUGAAAAAAUAAUUACAGAAAACACACAUUGCCCGCAGAUGAUGAAUAAAAUUAUGGCCGCUAUUGGAUCUUUUUAAGCAAUCGUGGUUUAGUGUAGAGUUAGAGUGAGAAUACCUGGUGUUGAUCGGAGUAGAGUCAUUGGUCACCGUAUUGACUGAACCACAAAGAGAGGAGGCGCCGCCCCAAAAAUUUAUAGAUUUUAGGGUUGAGGGCUGCUGGUUGUUUGCCCGUGUAAAGUGAUAUCUGAUUUUUCUCCUUAUUUGGGGUUUUUACUUUUGUACGUGGAAGUUAUUUAAAAAUGCAAAUAAGAAUUACACUUGUCAUCCUACUUUUAAUAUAGCCAAAAUGGUAAUUUUAGGGUAAAUAGUAACAUAAUUCAUUAUCCUAUAUUCAUAUAAUAUAUUAAUGUCUCAUGUUCCGAUUUCGGUUAAUCUACGAUUUGUUUAUAAAAAUCCAUAGACCUAACACGAAUUACGGUUUUUUAAAUUUUCAAUCCGUGUCCAGACCAUUAAUCCACGGACCUAAUAAAAAACCUACGAAUCAGGACAACCCCACUCGGUUUCGCGAUUUGCGGUUUUUUUUUGACAGCCCUAACUUCAGUGUGUAUUAUUGUUGCGUGUGUGGAGUUUAGGUUUGACAUACCUUAGAAAGGGGGAAGAGUGGGGUUGUCAACCUUAGUGCCAGAAGUGGGGUUAGGUGAUGAGUGUGCAUCCUUAUAGUUAGUGUGUACGCGGGGUCGGUAUGUUUAUGGCGGCGGUGUGUUAUGGUUAUAUACAUGUGGUACUUAAGUUGGACAUAUCUUAGAAGGGGGUAGAAGUGCGAUUGUCAAUCUAAAGUCAUUAGUGGGGGGUUGGACAUGCUUAUGCAAGUGAGUGGAAGAUAUGUUACCAUCAUGAUGGAAUGUUCCGUCGUCUUUUCCUUUCUUUCUAAUGUGAUCUGGUAUCAUGCCUAGCAAGGGGGUGGAAGGGGGAUGUUGAGUGAUUUACUUGUGAUACGUAUGGAUUAGGUAGUGUGAUACAUGACUUAGAGAGGGGUAGCGGAGGAUAUACAAUACUUAGGAGUAGUGUGGUACAUAUCUUUUUUUUACACAUCAUCCAUCCCAUAUAUUGGUGGUCCAUAAUAUUUGUCCACUACCAAAAAAGGAUGAAAUAUUUUCAUUUUACCCUUUCUUUCUAUAACAUUUCAAUCAAAGUAAAAAGUCAAAAGUAAUGAUUAAAAAGGUAAAACUGAAAAGUCAAUACAAAUCAUGUGUAAUGAUUAUGUUACCUUAAAAAGUUGUAUUUCCCAAAAGAGACUGGCAAUAUGGGACGGAGGGAGUAACUUGGUAUCUGUGAUCGACUAGUCGGGGGACCAAUCCAUCGACUAACGGGGGUCCAUUAAAGCCUGGGCAGAGCAUAAAGGACUGAAUAGUGUGGUACAUGCCUUAGAGAGGGGUAACGGAUAAUAUCCUGAAGUUGAGAUGAGUAUAUUGUCGAGUUGUCCAUUUUACAUAGGAGACUGCCAAAAUUUCUAAAAUAUUUUAUAGUUGGAUUUAUUUAUUUAUGUAUUCGUUUUAGAUUUACUUCUUCGGGUUGGAAAACCGGUGCUUGACACAACAGUUAUUGAUGGGGAACUACAUUCAAAACAUGGUGAAACUAUAAAGUCUUAAUUGUUCAAUUAAAACUAUUGAAACUUUAGUCAAAGUUCUGUACAACCCAAUUUCUGUAGUAAUAUUCCAUCUUAGUUGGAAAAUGCAGUCAUAUGUUUGGGGCAGUACAAGUGAUCAACGAAUGGUAACUCAUAUCACAUUAGGAAACUAUGCUCAGAGUUCCAUUACUAUUAGUGAGUGGCUUCGCUAUUUCUUAGGAUAUUGGUCAACCUAUAAGGAUAGUGGUGAAAUUUAUUCCAUUAUUAAAUCAGUGGAAAACUUUUAUAAUAUUUAAAGGCUAGUGAUUUUUGUACUAUCCUUUUAUCCUAUUUGCUAUUUUUUUGUCUUUAUUAUAGUUAAUUUACUUAAAUACUCAUUUUUACUCAAAUAUUUUUUUUACAUAUAAAGAUAUUUUUUGGAUAAAUUCAUCUUAAUAAAAACAAAAAAUGAGUACAAUUGAAAAAAAUGUGAGUGAGAAAAUCACUAGCCUAUUUAAAUCUGCAAUUCAUAAAUUUUUCAAUUGAUUUGAUUAUAUUAUCUUCACUUUCACU
rnacentral:lncRNA from 1 species